AGUUUUUUUCCACUUACCCAGUGAGGGGGGAUCCCUAACAGGUCUCACUUUUGGCUACAAGUGACCAGUGUUUGCCAGGUGUGACCCACUCUGGGGACAGCAUCAGGUGCGGAGUUUGUCAAACCGUAUUGCAGGUGUCCUAAGGCAAGCUCAGGGAGGACAGAAAUCUCCCGUGGAGCAGAAGGGCAAAAGCUCACUUGAUAUUGAUUUUCAGUAUGAAUACAAACCACGAAAGUGGGGUCUCGCGGUCCUUCUGACUUUCUGGGUUUUAAGCAAGAGGUGUCAGAAAAGUUACCACAGGGAUAACUGGCUGAUGGUGGCCAAGCAUUCAUAGCGUUCUCACUUUUUGAUCCUUUGAUGCUGGCUCGUUUUAUCAUUGUCAAGCAGAAUUCCCACUAAUAGGGAAUGUGAUCUGGGUUUAGACUGUAGUGAGACAGAUUAGUUUUAUCCUACUGAAGACAUGUUGUUUGAUCAUAAUCCUGCUCAGUAUGAGAAGAACCAAAGGUUCAGACAUUUGGUGUAUGUGCUUGGCUGAGGAGCCAAUGGGGCAAAGAUACCAUCUGUGGGAUUAUGACUGAAUGCCUCUAAGUAAGAAGUCCCCAUAAAUGUAAAGAUACCACAGCACUGAGAAGCCUCAUUUGGCCCCAGAUAACUGGCUGCCCAGCUUGGUACUGAGAGCCAUCUGUCUCAGGAGUGAAAGUGGCCGG
rnacentral:rRNA from 1 species